rnacentral:rRNA from 1 species
UUACGGGAGGCAGCAGUGGGGAAUAUUGGACAAUGGGCGAAAGCCUGAUCCAGCGACGCCGCGUGGAUGAUGAAGGCCUUCGGGUUGUAAAGUCCUUUCGGUAGGGAAGAUAAUGACGGUACCUACAAAAGAAGCUCCGGCUAACUUCGUGCCAGCAGCCGCGGUAAUACGAAGGGAGCUAGCGUUACUCGGAAUCAUUGGGCGUAAAGCGUGCGUAGGCGGUCUUGUAAGUUAGGAGUGAAAUCCUGGGGCUCAACCCCAGAACUGCUCUUAAUACUGCUCGACUAGAAUAACAGAGGGGACAGUAGAAUUCCUAGUGUAGGGGUGAAAUCCGUAGAUAUUAGGAGGAAUACCAGUGGUGAAAGCGACUGUCUGGCUGAUUAUUGACGCUGUUGCACGAAAGCGUGGGGAGCAAACAGGAUUAGAUACCCGGGUAGUCC